rnacentral:lncRNA from 10 species
CAGUUCUCAAAGACUCGGCCACAUAAAGAGCAAAAAGGUCCAAGGCCAGGCUUCUCUCGGCUCUAAGCCCCUCUCCCUUCAAGCCUCUCCGAAGCCAUAUAAAAGAUCACCUGGCCUGGGUCCUGUUUUCCCCAGGUCUUGAACAAAUUAGAUGCUUGGGAGUUAUUUGUGGAAGGAAGAAAACAAAAAUGAGUGAAUUACCACAUUUUCCAUGUUUUAUUCAUUCAUUCAGCAAAGAAACCAAUAUAUACACUUUGCAAGAAAGCCGUUUCGAGGAUCAGGGGUUGAAUUAGAUCCAAACUUUGAUCUCCAGGAAUUCAUAGUACCAUCUGAGAUUAGACACGUACCCACAGUUCUGGAAAACACUGUCAUUGUUUGUCUAUCAAGUUCCUCAGGAUGCCUGGCUUCAGGGAGGCAGGCAUAGUUUGUCUGGGGUCCGGGUCACCAGAAGGGAGACAUGUGGGAGGGCAAAACCUGGGGGCAAAGGGAGAAGCCAGCUGCUCCUCACAAAGCAGGGACCCUGUGCCCCGCUGUCUUCCUGGAACCAGGAAACAGAAAGCAGCUGUGAAGGUGGCAGGGCAGCAAGAGAGCAAGACGAGAACAACGGUACAGAUCCACUCAAAGGGUUUCCUUGGAGAUGUCUGAGUCUUGCUGUUUGUUGCCUGGGAUGCUGGCAAUGACCACUUCGUGGCUCAGGAAGCAGCAUAGGAGGGAGGCAAGUGUAGCCCCAACUCCAGUCCCCUCGCCGGCUUCCCACGGCUGACCACAGCGCGGCCCCUGUCUUAUCCUAAUUAGCUGCACCUAUGCCUCCGUCCAGGCUCACCGGCAAGCUCUUGAGCACAGAGGAGCUCUGUACCUGCAGCUCCCAACACAGUCCCUGCACAUGGCAAUGCUACCCAGUUCCCAGCCCCUGGGACCUGCCUACUCAUGCCUCCACUAGCUGUGAGAAAGGGGAACUUGGUGGAGGUGGAGAAAUCCAGAAAAAAAGAGAACAGCACAGAGCCUUGAAGGAUGUGGCCAUGGAGACAGGAAGGAGCAUAGUGUGGGGGGAUGAACACUUGCUCAAAACCUCACCUCCAGAAUUUAACCCUCUCUUCUGGGAUAGUCUCAGGCCAGACCCAGGAAGCAGCACAGUCUGUGGGCAGUCUUUGGAGAGUCUUGCAAAGCUUGGCCUGUGAGCUGAGAUCUCCAACUCCCAGAGCCAUUCCUUCUGGUUUUGUUCUGCAGAGAGCAGGAGGCUGGCACACACACACAUGAAGAUGGGUGUGCACACGUGGGGCUUCAUGCAGACAUACCCAGGAAGAUCUUGCGGGUCCCUGGAGAGGGCCCCCUCAUCCCUUUAUGGCCUGUGCCUGGUGACCCAGAGCAGACAAGACAAGGAGAGUGUGCUACAAACAUCCACAGAACCCAGAGCUCCGUGAUGCCAUGCAUGACACAAGAUCCAUCUCUUCAUUCCCACUGCCUAUCUUAGUGUCUGACAGGCAGCUGGUCAUCAAUGAUGCUUCAGAAUGAAAGGGAAACAUGUAAUGAAUUUGAUGCUGGUCAGUCCACAUGUCCUGCUGCCUUAGGAAGUGCCAUCAGGGUUACUCAGAGGCUCCGAGGGACAACAGAGCAGUGCUGUUAUCUGUGCCAGCUUCACAGGGUGGCUGAACCUUCCUAACAGACCCUCCUGGCCCCAUUCCAUGCCCACUCUGUCCAGUCUGCUUCCAGAGCACCUUUGCUCUGAGGAGUGCUCAGGGCCACCUGGGUCCCCUGUUUCUGUGCCAGCCUAGGGAUCCAAGACAGCAUGGACACUGUGGUCCUUGGUAAAGGGCCAGCCUGAGAAACGCUACUGCAAGGGGGGCUCCCUGCAGCCAGCCCCAGCCCAGCCCAGGAGUCUGAGCAGCAGAGACGAGAAAGUGACACUGGUGAAACCAAGGGACAAACUGUGUCCUGUAUGGCUGCAGCCUCCGGUCCCCUCCUAUCCCCCUUUCCUUGGCCAGCCCUGUCCCUUCUGCCUUGACAGUGCUCUCCUAUUUUUUAUCUUAUCACCCCUUCCCCCAGUCCCAAUGGGCCUUUAUUGUCCCUACCUUAGGCCCGCUGAGGUGAAGCAAUGUGACAAGGCCACACAAGAGACUUUGGGCUGGGACUGGUGAUGGGGCUGGAAAAGGUUUGAGAGCACAGGAUUUGAAGUGAGCCCAUCCUGAUUCGAUGACUGGCUCUGUCACCGACUGACCCUGUCUACUUGAGGCCUCAGUUACCCCAUCUGUGAAACGGGGUUAAUAAUAGGGGCCCCUAUCUCAUAAAUCCAUGGUACAGAUUGAGUGCAGUGCGGACAGAGAGGGCUCCUCAUGUGUUCCUGACCAGGCCUCCUGGUCACUAGUCCAGGCUGAGACUACUGUGGGAACCGCCCUCCACCCCCUUCCACACACAGACACACACACUCUCACUCGGACAGCGCCUGAUCCUGAAGGGCUCUCAACCUGUAGGUAGAAACCAACCCCCUCCCUCACACUCCCCAGCUGAUGACCGGCCAAAGUCCUGGUCACCCACAGAGUCCACUCAACACAAGUAUUUUCUUGACAUUUUGGGGCUUUUACUUCAAUUUGAAGCAGAUGGUUGAGCACAGACGUGAACAGCUUUGGCCAUUUGAGCACAAGGAAGGGGCGGGCCU